UAGAGUUCAUUUAGCAAAGUUCAGAAACGCAAACAACAUCAGUUCAUUAGUUACACUAAGCAUUUGCCUGCCUAAGUUGUAUUUAGACCAAAAUUUGCUAAUAGACACCCCCCUUCACAGAUCUGCUAUUUUUUGGCGUGCACAUAAUAUGUAUGUCUUAACAGUUUCCAGCAGUUGUGUUCUAUUGUUUGAUUAAAUGAAUCAAAACCUGAAGGAGAUCUAGAUUAACAGUAGAAUCACAUAGUUGUAAUUACCCGAGAAAUUUUAACAGAAGCUCACUGUUAUGUCCUCCAUCGGGCGAUCUUGUUUGUUAUCGCAGUAGAAUUUGGUGUGCUUGAAUAAAAUGGCGCUCAUUUGCAUCAUUGUAUUUCUGCAGAGUUUUAAGAAGAAUUCUGGUACGAACGCACUGACCGUAUACUUGUACAUGUGCAGCUGAGGAACAUCAUGUGGGCUACUUCCAAGCAUGAUGUGUACGUGAUGUAGAACUAUUCUGUGAUGCAUUGGUCGUCCUUACUCCGCAAAGGAAAAGAAGUGCUCAACGUGGCAGGCCCAAAUCAGGAUAUGCAGGGAGGUCGGCCCUUGUCCAGGGGAAGAUCAGCACCAUGACGGUGAAAGACAACCUCGGCAGUGCCUUCUAGCAAGAUUUCAAUCAUAAUCUGUGCAUACUUGUUUAUGAUAUGUGUGUGCCUCCAUCAAUCCUCUUUGGCAUCAUAGGAUACAAGAUACCAAGACUAGCAGUUCUCGUCUUGCUUAUGUUUUGUGAUCUCAGCUUAUCUAAUAAAACUGGCAAUUAUAGGAUACAAGAUACCAUAACUACAUAACUGGGGUCAUUUGCGUUACUGUAGUUGUGCCGUCUGGCUAGUGGGCUAAUAUGGGAGCCACAGCAUGGCAUCCUUCUCCAUUGUAGAUCCAUUGUAUUUGCAUGCUGCUAUAUUAUGUCAAGUUGAGUGAAGCAAACA